rnacentral:rRNA from 1 species
CCUACGGGAGGCAGCAGUGGGGAAUCUUGCGCAAUGGGCGAAAGCCUGACGCAGCCAUGCCGCGUGAAUGAUGAAGGUCUUAGGAUUGUAAAAUUCUUUCACCGGGGACGAUAAUGACGGUACCCGGAGAAGAAGCCCCGGCUAACUUCGUGCCAGCAGCCGCGGUAAUACGAAGGGGGCUAGCGUUGCUCGGAAUUACUGGGCGUAAAGGGAGCGUAGGCGGAUAGUUUAGUCAGAGGUGAAAGCCCAGGGCUCAACCUUGGAAUUGCCUUUGAUACUGGCUAUCUUGAGUACGGAAGAGGUAUGUGGAACUCCGAGUGUAGAGGUGAAAUUCGUAGAUAUUCGGAAGAACACCAGUGGCGAAGGCGACAUACUGGUCCGUUACUGACGCUGAGGCUCGAAAGCGUGGGGAGCAAACAGGAUUAGAUACCCUGGUAGUCCACGCUGUAAACGAUGAGUGCUAGUUGUCGGCAUGCAUGCAUGUCGGUGACGCAGCUACGCAUAG